CGCUCAAGAAGUUGGAAUCUUCACUGAGCUUUAGCGUCAGUGUUUUCUGCGUGUCCAGCAAAAUAGGACACUUACCAAGUUGGUGAGAAAGACAAGAUCCCAGCACUUGAGGAACUUGGCAUCCAGUUGAGAAGUGGAAUCCGUGAACAGAUUUCAGCAGUUUGAUUUGAGGUGUUGCAGAGCAUCGCUCCUCUGAGCAAUCGCCCUUUGCUGGAACCUGUGGGCAGAAACGACUGUGCAAACG